CUAAACUAAGACAGGCAAGAAGCUAAGGGUGAUCUGCUGCCGAAAGCUUGUGGGCAUACUUCUACCUUUGGCACAGAGGAAGGAAGGGCAGUGUGCUCCUGGGAAGGCCAGGGUGGAGCUGGAAGUCUGAUCUUAUGUCAUGAAUUCAGCUGGAGUGAAGAAACCCAUCCGCGCCUAAAAUGGUUGCUGUCAUGAGGUACACCCUCAGCGGAAAAACAAGCCCAGAGAAGGAAAGUCAUUCGCCUCAAGUCACAAAACUCUUCGAUGGAAAACGUAAAUGAGGACUCUAGUCAAGGACACUUUCUCCUCCUCAGGAGGUGAGAGAUUAAUGCUUCAAACUGAUUUCUGCUGGGACACCUGGGUAGCUCAGCGGUUGAGCAUCUGCCUUCGACUCAGGGCGUGAUCCCAGGAUCCGGCAUCGAGUCCCACAUCAGGGUCCCUGUGAGGAGUCUGCUUCUCCCUCUGCCUGUGUCUCUGCCUCUCUGUUG
rnacentral:lncRNA from 12 species